UACGUAGGGUGCGAGCGUUAAUCGGAAUUACUGGGCGUAAAGCGUGCGCAGGCGGUGAUGUAAGACAGAUGUGAAAUCCCCGGGCUCAACCUGGGAACUGCAUUUGUGACUGCAUUGCUGGAGUGCGGCAGAGGGGGAUGGAAUUCCGCGUGUAGCAGUGAAAUGCGUAGAUAUGCGGAGGAACACCGAUGGCGAAGGGCAAUCCCCCUGGGCCUGCACUGACGCUCAUGCACGAAAGCGUGGGGAGCAAACAGG
rnacentral:rRNA from 1 species